rnacentral:lncRNA from 1 species
AUAAAGAAGAAUAAAACUGUGUCUUUUGCAGGAAAAUGGGUAGAACUUGAGAACAAUACAUUAAGUAAAAUAAGCCAAACUCAGAAGGUCAAGGGUUGUAUGUUUUCUAUCCUAUGUGGAAACUAGAGAGGGAAAAGGAAAAGAAAGGUUGGGAGAUCUCAUGAAAACAAGGGAGAUCAGUAGAGUACAGGAAAGGGACGUGGCGGGGAGGUGGGGAGGAAUGGGGAAUACUGGGGAGUGAUGCUGGCCAAAUUAUAGUGUGAUACCGAGUGCACAUGUGAAUAUGUUACAUAGUGUAACACCAUUAUGUACAACUAUAAUGCACCAAUAAAAAAAAUAUGGGGGAAAAAAGAACGUAGCCCCAUAUGUCCUUGAAUGCCUCAUUCAUUCCUGGGGCCUGUUCCACAUCCCAGCAGCUACCAGGGAUGCAGAAAUGAAUGAGAUUCCUUGUGCAUUACAAUAGAGAAGAUAGACAAGCAGGAUAAUCGGGCAAUAGCAGUUUGCAAACAGACACCCACUCCAAAGUGCACACGGUCCCUGGGUUGAAAUGGGAAGAGGCCCCUCAAGAGCUGCAGGGCUCUGGUCACACAGAGAGGGCAGCACUGCAGGUAGGAAGCCUGGCAUUGGGUUAGACACAUGCAGAAGCUUCCCCCAGCAGCUUUGUGGAGGGGACAGAGAGUUGAGGGAGUUAAGAUGUAAAAUAAGGAAAAUGUCGAAAAAAGAAAAAGAAGAAGAGGAGGAAGAAGAAGAUACUGGAAAUAAUGUGGGUGGCCUGCCCCCAAGAGCACAGAACUUCAGCAAUGGCAACUAAAAAGAAAAGGAAGCAGUGAAUGGGAAAUACUUAGCAGAUGGACUCCAAGGAAAGGUCACCAGGGCCACACAGACCUACUCCCGCUCUCAGCCCUGCCGUGUGGUAGCUGUGGGACCUACAGACUGCUUGAUGUUGCUGAGCCUUGGUUUCUUCAUCUGUAAGGUGGGCCCAACUCUAUAGAGUGUUUCAAGACUGAAAAGCAACGAGGGUAAAGAGGUUAAGCCCGCACGUGGCAGGCAGCCAUAAACUUAGCCCCACUGAAGGAAAUGGUAACUUGUGCCUUAAACUGAGUCGAGUUGAAGGUGAACAUUAGGAGCGAGGGAAUGAGUGGAGUGGAGGGGCUCCAUGCACAGGGUCUCCCGCGUGCAGCCCAGCCCAAGCCGGGUGGAACAGAAGACCACAUCUGUGCACCUCGAACCCCAGGCCCCCAAGGAAGGACAGCUUCCUGCUCAGUCCCCGAUUUCAGAAAUCAGUUUGUCUGCGCAAUUUUUUUUUCACAGUCACCAGUAACUCAGAGAACCCCAAAUACUAAAUCCCGCUCUGUUCCUUUAUGCCAAACCCACUGCGGAUGAUGGAGUUCAGGCUGGAGAGACUGGAGGAGCACACCUCCCGGCUCCACCCCCCACCAGGAUGCACCCCCCAAACUCAUUCCAGCCACCGCACACCAGACCAUUUCCCCUGCAGCAUUCAGGGGAGAAGGUGAGGUCCCAGGAAGCCAAGGCCAGCAGCACUUGCACUGCAAGAGCCACCAGCCAGCCCACUGUCAGCUGGAAAUUUGUCACCGCCCAGAGAGGCAACGGGCAAAGUUGUUUCCGUUCGCCAGGUAUUAGCUACGUCACUUGUUUCCUAUUUCGGCAUGUUAUAAAAAUUUCCCCAGGCGAGAGGCUGAAGCCUCUGUUGUGAAAUCUGGUUAACACGAGGCGCCGGGUGGUUUUCUGUUUUCAUGACAUCACUCGGGUUAGUCUCUGUGUGUGUCAGAAAAGUAAAGCCCCAGGAAGCUGGCAGCUCUGCUGGGGUCCCAAAGAAAUGGGGGAAAGAGGGCAGAGGAAGGACAGGGGAACAGAAAUCCCAGGAGAGGAGACAGACCACCCCAGGACCAGGCGCUCAGCAGGGAUCCCUCAAGGAAGAAACUUCCUUUGCUUCCUGUUUCUAGACGUGGCCACUCUAUGCUUAUCUGACAGAUGCAGACCUGUGAUCUCAGUCCGGUUUAUAACAUCCUAAUGAAACUAUUCAAAUAUUUUACCCACUCCCCCAGAGGUUCCAUAUCGGCUGGAUGUUCUCAUUUGCUUUAAAUCUGCAGGUGGCUGGAGGAAUUGGGCCAGAGGUCAGAGCGAUUCCCCCAAGCACCAUUGUGCCCAGCCUGGUCUCAGACUUGUGAUCCUCCUGCCUCAGCCUCCUGAGCAGCUGAGAUUACAGGUGGCAACACCACAGCCAGAUCCCCUCAGGAGCUUAAAGACUGCUACUGUAGGCUAGACAGUGAGGCAGCUCUGAAGGUAGAACAGGUGGACCGAACCAUAAAGUUCAAAAUGAGAACUAUAUUAAAAAAAAGGGGGGAGGGGUUUACAAUAAAGCACAGCAAAGUGAGUAUUGUUGGACCCACUUCCAGGAACAGCUAAUAUGUGCUUGUCGUGUCCAUGUUAAGAAUUCC